UCUCUAGCUGUUGCACAAUCUCUCUCUCUCCCACCUGCCCACUUGCCUCUGUUGGAAACAUUGACUAGAACUUCUAAAAGAAAGAAUGCAUUGCCCUAUGUUAAUCUGUAUUUGGCUGAAAAUAAGAUAAAUUUCAAAGAAUUGUGGUUGGGUUUUUUUUUAAGGUGAUUGACUAAAUCACAGAAUCAAAGCAUGGAAAAGGAUGAACAGUGUCCACAGGUUUAAUGAGCAUUGAGUUUCCCCAGAAACACAGGAUUUAAACAAGGUUAUGAGCACAUCGGGUUCCAAAGCCUGGGAGGGACCAGGCAUAUCAGGAAGCAGAAAUGCAAGAGCAGAUCAUUCUAUCUGCAGAAAGUAGGGCAUUGUGCAAGCCCUCACCUCACCCCAGGCUUCAGUGCAGUCCCAUGAGGGAGAAGGAGCUCCGAUGACAGAGAUGGAAUGUGACACCAAGUGAACAGAAUUUUCUACAAUGCAAAAACUGUAAUUUUCAAUGAGAAACAAAUGUUUAUACUAAAAUAAUGCUGAACUGAUCUGAGAAACUUUGAAAACCAAGAGGCUGGAUUAGA